GGAUAUAUAUGGCCCUAUCGUCUAGUGAUGCCCCUAUCAUCUAGUGGUUCAGGACAUCUCUCUUUCAAGGAGGCAGCGGGGAUUCGACUUCCCCCUUUCUAUCAUCCCUCCCUUUAUCCACAUCCCUUUAGUUUUGCUUCACAACCUAGAAUCCCUUUUCUUUUCUAG
rnacentral:rRNA from 1 species